CCCUUAGAUGUUCUGGGCCGCACGCGCGCUACACUGAUGCAUUCAACGAGUCUAAAACCUGCUCUGAUAGGGGUGGGUAAUCUUUUGAAUGUGCAUCGUGAUUGGGAUAGAUGAUUGCAAUUUUUCAUCUUCAACGAGGAAUGCCUAGUAAACGCAAGUCAUCAGCUUGCAUUGAUUACGUCCCUGCCCUUUGUACACACCGCCCGUCGCUCCUACCGAUUGAAUGAUCCGAUGAAUAUCAUGGAUUGAGGAUGCAAGUAGGUUAGCCUAUCUUCAUCUUCGAGACGUGAAGUAAAUCUUAUCAUUUAGAGGAAGGAGAAGUCGUAACA
rnacentral:rRNA from 1 species